UCUCCGUAGGUGAACCUGCGGAGGGAUCAUUACAGAGUUCAUGCCCUCCGGGUAGAUCUCCCACCCAUUGCUAUAACUACUCUCGUUGCUUUGGCGGGCCGCUGGGCCCUGCCCGGUCGCCGGCCCCGGCUGGCGCGUGCCCGCCAGAGACCUCACAAACUCUGAAUGUUAGUGUCGUCCGAGUAACUAUACAAUCGUUAAAACUUUCAACAACGGAUCUCUUGGUUCUG
rnacentral:misc_RNA from 1 species